GGCCCAAUUACAAAAAAAAUAGAAAAUAGAAGAAAAGAAAAAAGCUUCUCUCUCCCUUUUCCCAUCACUCAACUCCUCAAAACCCUAGACGAAGAGUCCCUCCGAUCACCAUCUCCAUGAGCCCCUCCCACCUCUCCCUCCGCGACCCUCUCUAACUCUGCGAGACAAUGGCAUUUUACUUCAGUGGGUUGUAGCUUUAGUGGAAGUGAGGCCAAAUUUUCUCUUAGGAGAAAUUGAGAAGCUCCUUCUUGAGGAUAUAUAUCAGCUUUUUAGAAGCUUGUAGAAGACUUGUGGACAACUUCAUUUGGUGAAACGAACAAGUUCAGAUGUGAUUCGGUGGGUUUGAUCUCACCAAAAUGGGUGAACUCCCUCUAUGUCUCUAUCACGCCCCGGGGUCCCUUUUUAGUUUCAAAACACAGCGGAAGGGUCUAAAUUUUUGUUGUUGCUGGCACUGGUUGUGCCUCGUUGAUUGCGUACUUAUAGAAUUUAAAAUCCUGGGUAAAUUCUUGUACGCAAUCUAUAUUGAGCCUUGGGCGGACAGGGGAGGUCCUGUCCGUUCGGUGUCCGUCCGGCGCGCCCGAACCAUACCAAAUUGGUAGGGGUUUCGGGGCCGGGGCGUGACAUAGAUAGCUUUCAACUUAACUACUGUAAAUCAAAACUUGUAAGCCCAAAGCCUUUCAUGUAUGUAAUUAUAUUAAUCUAGAGUUGCAAUUUUAUGUAAAGUGAUUUAUAGUAGUUUUACGGUUAUUUAUAGUGCUCUGAUACCUGUUGGAUGUUAGUUUAUACUCUAAAAAUGAUUUUGUGGAUGAAUCUGGGACUAGAAUUACUUUGCUACUAUUCUGCUUUGUUGACGCUCUAUUCGGAUAAGGGAAACUCUAUCCG